UAUUGUUGUUUUAUUUUUUGCUAGAGGCUAACUAUAGUAUUAGACAAUGCUAAUUUCACUGCUUAGUUUCUUGUACUUGUGUUGCAGACUGCGAGAUGAAGAGGGUCAUAUAAUUGAGAACACUCAGCCAAUAUGUUGUCCAUGUGGGCCCCAGCGGCGGAUGCCUUCAUCAUGUGGAAACUUCUUUGACAAAGUAACAAAAGGAAAGGCCAACAC